AGCCACAUUCUCUGGGCAAGAGUAGUCUA
rnacentral:sRNA from 1 species